GCGAGUGAAGCGACAAAAGCUCAAAUUUGAAAUCUGUCACCUUUGGUGUCCGAGUUGUAAUUUGAAGAAGGUAACUUUGGUGCUGGCUCUUGUCUAUGUUCCUUGGAACAGGACGUCACAGAGGGUGAGAAUCCCGUGCGAUGAGAUGCCCAGUACCAUGUAAAGUGCUUUCGAAGAGUCGAGUUGUUUGGGAAUGCAGCUCUAAGUGGGUGGUAAAUUCCAUCUAAAGCUAAAUAUUGGCGAGAGACCGAUAGCGAACAAGUACAGUGAUGGAAAGAUGAAAAGAACUUUGAAAAGAGAGUGAAAAAGUACGUGAAAUUGUUGAAAGGGAAGGGCUUGAGAUCAGACUUGGUAUUUUGCGACCUUUUCCUUCGUGGAGAGGGCCCCCGCAGUUUACUGGGCCAGCAUCAGUUUGGAUGGCAAGAGAAUGACAUUGGAAUGUAGCUCUGCUUCGGUAGAGUGUUAUAGACUUUGUUGAUAUUGCCUAUCUAGACUGAGGACUGCGUCUUUGACUAGGAUGCUGGCGUAAUGAUCUUAAGCCGCCC
rnacentral:rRNA from 1 species